rnacentral:pre_miRNA from 1 species
AAUAAGUACAGCCAUGGGAUAUUCGUGCUCAACAUUUGACCGUUCGUCUUAUUUGAAAAAUUUAUGAAAAAUUUAAAAAUAUUUAGUCACACAUAAAGUACUAUUCAUGUUUUAUCAUCUAAUAAUAAUAAAAAUACUAAUCAUAAAAAAUUUUCAAAUAAGACGAACGGUCAAACGUUGAACGUGAAUAGUGCAAAACUACACUUAUU